GAUAAACGCUGGCGGCGUGCUUCAGGCAUGUAAGUCGAACGGUUCAUAGGCCUUCGGGCUUAUGGAUAGUGGCGGACGGGUGAGUAACACGUAAGCAACCUGCCCCGAAGUGGGGAAUAACUGACCGAAAGGUUAGCUAAUACCGCAUGUGAUGACGACCCCCUGGGGAUGUCAUUAAAGGCUUCGGUCGCUUCGGGAGGGGCUUGCGGUCGAUUAGCUAGUUGGUGGGGUAACGGCCUACCAAGGCGACGAUCGAUAGCUGGUCUGAGAGGACGGACAGCCACACGGGGACUGAGAUACGGCCCCGACUCCUACGGGAGGCAGCAGCUAGGAAUCUUGGGAAUGGCGAAAGCCUGACCCAGCAACGCCGCGUGGGCGAUGAAGGCCUUCAGGUCGUAAAGCCCUUUUGAGGGGGAAGAUGAUGACGGUACCCCUCGAAUAAGCCACGGCUAACUACGUGCCAGCAGCCGCGGUAAUACGUAGGUGGCAAGCGUUGUCCGGAUUUACUGGGCGUAAAGGGCGUGCGA
rnacentral:rRNA from 1 species